ensembl:misc_RNA 7SK 7SK RNA
GGAUGUGAGGGCAAUCUGGCUGUGACAUCUGUCACCCCGUGUUGAUGUGCAGUGUUGAUCACCAGUGUUGAUGUCAUCUCCUGAUCCUGCUGACUAGGCGGAUGUCCCGUUCCUCUGUCCUCUGUCCUAUCCCUGUACCUUUCCAGAUAGAGGAGGACCUUUUUUCAGUCAAGGGUACACGAAGAGUUGUGUUCCUCUGCUAGAACUUCCAAAGAAGCUCUUAGUCUAGAUUCUAAACCUCAUUCAUAUUCCAUAAUUUAU